GCUCCAGUGGCCUAAUGGUUAGAGUGCCCGCCUCGGAUGCGGGAGGUCAGGGGUUCAAUUCCCGGUUGAGUCA